ACAACGGCUCUUUUAGGAGCCACCCACAUUUGAAAAGAGUCAAUU
rfam:Nematostella vectensis strain CH2 x CH6 NEMVEscaffold_14_Cont2939, whole genome shotgun sequence.